rnacentral:rRNA from 1 species
GAUGAACGCUGGCGGUGUGCCUAAUACAUGCAAGUCGAGGGAACAGACGAGUAGCAUUAUCUUCCGACGUUCGCGGCGGACGGGUGUGUAACACAUGGAUCACCCACGUAUCAGACUGGGAUAACUUCGGGAAACCGGCGCUAACACCGGAUAAUAUAUUUAACCGCAUGGUUUAAUAGUUAAAGACGUUUUUGCUGCGACUUAGAGAUCGUUCCGCGCCGCAUUAGCUAGUUGGGAAGGUAACGGCUUACCAAGGCAACGAUGCGUAGCCGAGCUGAGUGGGUGAUCAGCCACACUAGAACGGAGACGCGGUACAGACUCCUACGGGAGGCAGCGGUAGGGAAUCUUCCGCAAUGGGCGAAAGCCUGACGGGGCAACGCCGCGUGAGUGAUGAAGGUCUUCGGAUCGUAGAUCUCUGUUAUUAGGGAAGAACAAAUGUAUAAGUAACUAUGCACGUCUUGACGGUACCUAGUCAGAAAGCCACGGCUAACUACGUG